AGAGGCGAGUGAGUAACGUAGCCACCCCUCAGUAUUUUUAAAAAAGAAAAGGAAAAAUUAAAAGUGAAGAUUAGGUCACGCAAACGGAGAGUCUCUCAAAGCAUAAACACAAAACCACAAAUCAAAUCAUCACUUUCAAAUAAACGCUGCCACCACCUCCAAUUCCGUCUACAAAUCAUCCCAAAUGCCUAUCCCAACCACUUGAAUCACACCCAAUUUCGCCGGAAAACCUGAAUACGAUGCUUUCCUUUCCACACCCUCUUCACACCUUUCUACAGAAUUGCAGAUCUGCGGGUUAACGAAGGUCUUGCGGCCAUGGCGGGGAUUAUGAGGAGAGGUUACAUUCCUGAUAUAGUCACCUAUAGUACCUUGAUUAAGGGCUUGUGUAUGGAGCAUAGGAUUAGUGAAGCUACAUGGCUAUUUAUGAGUAUGCAAAAGUUAGGUUGUAGGCCUGAUGCGAUUACUUAUGGGACUUUAAUGAAGGGGCUCUGUCAAACAGGGAAUAUUAACAUUGCACUUCAAUUACAUCAAGAAAUGCUCAAUGACACCGGUCGAUAUGGGAUUAAUUGUAAGCCUACUCUAAUUUCUUAUAGUAUCAUUAUUGAUGGACUUUGUAAGGAUAGGCGGGAAGACGAGGCAAGAGAACUUUUCAAGGAAAUGAAAGCUCAGGGGAUGAUGCCAGAUGUCAUUUCAUAUACCUCUUUGAUUCAUGGAUUUUGCCAUAGUGGAAAGUGGGAGAAGGCUAAAUGUUUGUUUAAUGAGAUGCUGGAUGUAGGUAUUCAGCCUGAUGUGACUACGUCUGGUGUGUUGAUCGAUAUGUUUUGCAAGGAAGGAAAGGUUAUCGAGGCUAACGAGUUGCUAGAGGUGAUGGUUCAUAGAGGUUGCAUUCUUGAUAUAGUAACCUAUAGUACCUUGAUUAAGGGCUUGUGUAUGAAGCAUAGGAUUAGUGAAGCUACACAGCUAUUUAUGAGUAUGAAAAAGUUAGGUUGUAGGCCUGAUGCGAUUGCUUAUGGGACUUUAAUGAAGGGGCUCUGUCAAACAGGAAAGAUUAACAUUGCACUUCAUUUACAUCAAGAAAUGCUCAAUGACACCAGUCAAUAUGGGAUUAAAUGUAAGCCUACUCUUAUUUCUUAUAGUAUAAUUAUUGAUGGACUUUGUAAGGAUAGGCGAGAAGACGAGGCAAGAGAACUUUUCAAGGAAAUGAAGGCUCAGGGGAUGAUGCCAGAUGUCAUUUCAUAUACCUCUUUGAUUCAUGGAUUUUGUCGUAGUGGAAAGUGGGAGAAGGCUAAAUGUUUGUUUAAUGAGAUGUUGGAUGUAGGUAUUCGGCCUGAUGUGACUACGUCUAGUAUGUUGAUUGAUAUACUUUGCAAGGAAGGAAAGGUUAUUGAGGCCAACGAGUUGCUAGAGGUGAUGAUUCAGAGGGGUUGCAUUCUUGAUAUAGUCACCUAUAGUACCUUGAUUAAGGGCUUGUGUAUGAAGCAUAGGAUUAGUGAAGCUACACGGCUAUUUAUGAGUAUGCAAAAGUUAGGUUGUAGGCCUGAUGCGAUUGCUUAUGGGACUUUAAUGAAAGGGCUCUGUCAAACAGGGAAUAUUAACACUGCACUUCAAUUACAUCAAGAAAUGCUCAAUGACACCGGUCGAUAUGGGAUUAAAUGUAAGCCUACUCUUAUUUCUUAUAGUAUCAUUAUUGAUGGACUUUGUAAGGAUAGGCGGGAAGAUGAGGCAAGAGAACUUUUCGAGGAAAUGAAAGCUCAGGGGAUAAUGCCAGAUGUCAUUUCAUAUACCACUUUGAUUCAUGGAUUUUGCCUUAGUGGAAAGUGGGAGAAGGCUAAAUGUUUGUUUAAUGAGAUGUUGGAUGUAGGUAUUCAGCCUGAUGUGACUACAUCUAGUGUGUUGAUCGAUAUGCUUUGCAAGAAAGGAAAGGUUAUCGAGGCUAACAAGUUGCUAGAGGUAGUGAUUCAGAGAGGUUGCAUUCUUGAUGUAGUGACGUGUACUACCUUGGUUAAAGGGUUGUGUAUGAAGCAUAGAAUUAGUAAAGCCACACAGUUAUUUCUAAAAAUGCAAAAGUUAGGUUGUAUGCCUAAUGUAGUUACGUGUGCGACUUUAAUGAAGGGGCUCUGUCAAAGUGGGAAUAUUAAAAUUGCACUUGAGUUGCAUAAAAAUAUGCUAAGUGACACUAGUCCAUAUGGGAUUAAUUGUAAGCCUAAUGCUAUUUCCUAUAGUAUCAUCAUAGAUGGGCUUUGUAAGUGUGGACGGGAAGACGAGGCAAGAGAGCUUUUCAAGGAAAUGAAAGCUCUAGGAGUGAUUCCUGACGUGAUUUCAUAUACCUCUUUGAUUCAUGGAUUUUGCCGUAGUGGAAAGUGGAAGGAUGCUAAAUAUUUGUUCAAUGAGAUGGUGGAUAUAGGUGUUCAACCUGAUGUGACUACGUUCAGUGUGUUGAUUGAUAUGCUUUGCAAGGAAGGAAAGGUUAUCGAGGCUAACGAGUUGCUAGAGGUGAUGAUUCAGAGAGGUUGCAUUCCUAAUACAGUGACGUAUACUACCUUGGUUAAAGGGUUGUGUAUGAAUGAUAGGAUUAGUGAAGCCACACAGUUGUUUAUGAAAAUGCAAAAGUUAGGUUGUCUGCCUGAUGUAGUUACUUAUGGGACUCUAAUGAAGGGACUCUGUCAAACAGGGAAUAUUAAAACUGCACUUGAGUUGCAUAAAAAAAUGCUCAGUGACACUGGUCAAUAUGGGACUAAUUUUAAGCCUGAUGUUAUUUCCUAUAGUAUCAUCAUAGAUGGGCUUUGUAAGCAUGGACGGGAAGACGAGGCAAGAGAACUUUUCAAGGAAAUGAAAGCUCUUGGAGUGAUUCCUAAUGUGAUUUCAUAUACCUCUUUGAUUCAUGGAUUCUGCCGUAGUGGAAAAUUGGAGGAUGCUAAACAUUUGUUCAAUGAGAUGGUGGAUCAAGGUGUUCAACUAAAUGCUGUUACUUAUUCCGUUAUGAUCCAUGGGUUUUGUAAAGAGGGACAAAUAGAUAAGGCUUUGUUUCAAAAGAUGGAAGCAAAUUAAUGCACUCUCAACAUUAUCUUAAAAACCACUAUGGAAAUGGGAGGGAAAAAAGCAGAAGAGAAGAGUUGGAAGAAAAUCUUAAAAUUUUUGCAGCGCGCUUCAAAUUUUAGAAUAUUGAGUAGUGCCAUUAGUGCUCCAAACUUAUUUUUUUUUCCAUUUCCCAUCACUCUAGUUUCUCUCCAAUUUCACACAUAUUUUUUAUCUUCUCUAAUUCUCAAAUCUAUGGCAAGAGGCACUUUCCAAUCCCACUCCCUAUCCUCCUCUGCUUCUGUCUCCGAUGUUGUCACUUCACAAGACUUUGCGAUGAUGACAGAGCCUUCACCUCUACCGUCUCGGCUCCAGUUUUCACCGCCUUUACUUGACUCGUAGUUGAAGGAUCGAGCAGUGAUAGAAACAUGCCAAGGUUUUACAUUGACAAUGCUCCUAGCUUGAAUAUUGUUUCCAUCGUUGCUUCAUGAGUCUAUGCUAUUUCCACUUUUUCACUGCCCUCCACGUCUUUGGUAAGCUUUAUUGCUUGUGAUUCGCGGUUGGAGUUCAAUCUGAUGCUCAUUUCAUGCAAAGUGCUUUUUUCCUUCUCGAUCUUUUCAUUCCCUAGAUGGAAUGUUCAAGUUUCUACUGACCUGAUGACUUAACACUUUGUUUUGGUUUUCUCUCUAAAUUUAACAGUUGUUGUAGUCUUUUGAGGUUUGAAUUCCAUCAGUUUUGGACGUAUCAAAAGGAAGAGAGCUUUCUUCUGCUGGUAUUUUCUCUUUACUUUGUAUAUUUCAGAAGAUUGUAAUGACCACACUUAUCCA